rnacentral:rRNA from 1 species
AAAUUGAAGAGUUUGAUCAUGGCUCAGAUUGAACGCUGGCGGCAGGCCUAACACAUGCAAGUCGAACGGUAACAGGAAACAGCUUGCUGUUUCGCUGACGAGUGGCGGACGGGUGAGUAAUGUCUGGGAAACUGCCUGAUGGAGGGGGAUAACUACUGGAAACGGUAGCUAAUACCGCAUAAUGUCGCAAGACUAAAGAGGGGGACCUUCGGGCCUCUUGCCAUCGGAUGUGCCCAGAUGGGAUU